rnacentral:rRNA from 1 species
UUGUGAGAGAUCACUUGGUGCCUUCGGGAGCCAGAACACAGGUGCUGCAUGGCUGUCGUCAGCUCGUGUCGUGAGAUGUUGGGUUAAGUCCCGCAACGAGCGCAACCCUUGCCAUUAAUUGCCAUCAUUUAGUUGGGCACUUUAAUGGGACUGCCGGUGACAAACCGGAGGAAGGUGGGGAUGACGUCAAGUCCUCAUGGCCCUUAUGGGUAGGGCUUCACACGUCAUACAAUGGUCGGUACAGAGGGUUGCCAAACCGCGAGGUGGAGCUAAUCUCUUAAAGCCGAUCGUAGUCCGGAUCGUAGUCUGCAACUCGACUACGUGAAGUCGGAAUCGCUAGUAAUCGCGGAUCAGCAUGUCGCGGUGAAUACGUUCCCGGGUCUU